UGAGGAAUUUUCCGCAAUGGGCGAAAGCCUGACGGAGCAAUGCCGCGUGGAGGAAGACAGCCUAUGGGUCGUAAACUCCUUUUCUUAGAGAAGAAGCUCUGACGGUAUCUAAGGAAUAAGCAUCGGCUAACUCCGUGCCAGCAGCCGCGGUAAUACGGGGGAUGCAAGCGUUAUCCGGAAUGAUUGGGCGUAAAGGGUCCGUAGGUGGUCGAUAAAGUCUACCGUUCAAUACCAGGGCUUAACCCUGGGGCAGCGGUGGAAACUCAUCGGCUUGAGUACGGUAGAGGCAGAGGGAAUUCCCGGCGUAGCGGUGAAAUGCGUAGAUUUCGGGAAGAACACCAAUGGCGAAGGCACUCUGCUGGGCCGAAACUGACACUGAGGGACGAGAGCUAGGGGAGCG
rnacentral:rRNA from 1 species